UACAGAGGUGGCAAGCGUUGUUCGGAAUUACUGGGCGUAAAGCGCACGUAGGCGGAUCAGCAAGUUAGAGGUGAAAUCCCAGGGCUCAACCCUGGAACUGCCUUUAAAACUGUUGGUCUUGAGUUCGAGAGAGGUGAGUGGAAUUCCAUGUGUAGCGGUGAAAUGCGUAGAUAUAUGGAGGAACACCAGUGGCGAAGGCAGCUUACUACGGAUGCAUUGACACUGAGGCACGAAAGCGUGGGGAUCAAACAGG
rnacentral:rRNA from 1 species